ensembl:miRNA
AGCUAAACGAUGUAGUUACUAUUAUCCCUCUUUUACUGGAAAACAGGGUUGAGUAACUUCCCAAGCUUUCAGAGUUAAAGGGAGAGCCUCAAUUUAAACCCAGGUUUUCCAGCCCGAGAGCCAUGUGGUAACUAAUA